UACAGAGACUGCAAGCGUUAUUCGGAUUCACUGGGCGUAAAGGGUGCGCAGGCGGCCGAGUGUGUGAGGCGUGAAAGCCCGGGGCUUAACCCCGGAAUUGCACCUCAAACUACACGGCUAGAGCAUUGGAGAGGGUAGCAGAAUUCAUGGUGUAGCAGUGAAAUGCGUAGAUAUCAUGAGGAAUACCAGAGGCGAAGGCGGCUGCCUGGACAAUUGCUGACGCUCAGGCACGAAAGCGUGGGGAGCAAAAGGG
rnacentral:rRNA from 1 species